rnacentral:rRNA from 1 species
UACGGAGGGUGCGAGCGUUAUCCGGAUUUACUGGGUUUAAAGGGUGUGUAGGCGGGCUGUUAAGUCAGUGGUGAAAUCCCGGGGCUCAACCCCGGAACUGCCAUUGAUACUAUCAGUCUUGAAUAUUGUGGAGGUGAGCGGAAUGUGUCAUGUAGCGGUGAAAUGCGUAGAUAUCGUAAGGAAGACCAGUGGCGAAGGCGAAUCUCUGGACAGUUACUGACACUGAGGCACGAAGGCCAGGGGAGCAAACGGG